rnacentral:rRNA from 1 species
UACAGAGGUCCCGAGCGUUGUUCGGAUUUAUUGGGCGUAAAGGGUGCGUAGGUGGCAAAGUAAGUUGGAUGUGAAAUCCUGGGGCUUAACCUCAGAAUUGCAUUCAAUACUGCUUAGCUAGAGAGCUGUAGAGGAGACUGGAAUUUACGGUGUAGCAGUGAAAUGCGUAGAUAUCGUAAGGAACGCCAGUGGCGAAAGCGAGUCUCUGGGACGGUACUGACGCUGAGACGCGAAAGCGUGGGGAGCGAACAGG